UCGAAAUUAAGAUGUUUUGAAGAAUAUUUUAUUUUUUUUACAAUAGCUGCAAGGCUAUUUUAGCGAUAAACGAAGAUAUAAUCAUAAUCAAUAACAUUAUAUACGAGGACUCAGAAGGUCUAAUUCGAUGAACUUCUUUGAGCACCCACCGCUGGAUCAAAUAUGACUUUUAUCUGGGCCCACAAAGAGCAGCAAAAUUUCGAGUAAACCCAGCCUGUGAACCCCAACUUAAGCGGUCCAAUCUCACAAACUUCUUUUCCCGGUUCCGUCUGACGCCUCCGAAAGCCGCGCCAAAAGCCGGGCCAAAAGACACGGAGACGGAGACGCAAAGGCUGCCGACCAAUCAAAGGAUGCCGCCUACGUCGCUGGCUGAGAAGUCUAAUGGUUUUGCUUGAGUUAGGUGUUGUGCCGCUGCUGCGAGUGUGUGUGUGUGUGUGCGAGUGUGUGUUGCACAUGGGGGUGAAAUAACACAUACCUGCGUGUGUGUGCGCCAAAUUAAAUAUGUACUGGAAAACAAUAAUGAGGCAAAUCUCGCGACUUGUGCUUAUGUACAUAUUUAUUUAUACGACGCUCUAAGGAGGAAGCCAAGAACGCUGGUAAGCACUUUUAUGACGUGAGAAUAAAGUAAAA